GACGAACGCUGGCGGCGUGCUUAACACAUGCAAGUCGAACGGAAAGGCCCUGCUUUUGUGGGGUGCUCGAGUGGCGAACGGGUGAGUAACACGUGAGUAACCUGCCCUUGACUUUGGGAUAACUUCAGGAAACUGGGGCUAAUACCGGAUAGGAGCUCCUGCUGCAUGGUGGGGGUUGGAAAGUUUCGGCGGUUGGGGAUGGACUCGCGGCUUAUCAGCUUGUUGGUGGGGUAGUGGCUUACCAAGGCUUUGACGGGUAGCCGGCCUGAGAGGUUGACCGGCCACAUUGGGACUGAGAGACGGCCCAGACUCCUACGGGAGGCAGCAGUGGGGAAUAUUGCACAAUGGGCGGAAGCCUGAUGCAGCAACGCCGCGUGCUGGAUGACGGCCUUCGGGUUGUAAACCGCUUUCGCCUGUGACGAAGCGUGAGUGACGGUAAUGGGUAAAGAAGCACCGGCUAACUACGUG
rnacentral:rRNA from 1 species